GUCAAGGACAUGCUAUACAAUGACCUCUGUGUUGUAAAGAACCCACAGCCACGUGCCGAAUUCACGAACUUUGAACGACUUGUUUCAGAAUCGGACAUCAUUUGCAUUUGUUGUAAAGCACUGACGCAAAAAUCACAUCUCUUUCAAAAAGACGCUUUUAAGAAAAUGAAGAAAGACGCCAUAUUGCUUGACAGCUACUCAAAUGGACAUGCAAUUAACUAUUCCGAUCUCUACAAUGCUUUGAGGGAAAAACGAAUUUGUGCAGCAGGACUUGAUGUGAGGGACGUGAAUCGAACCCAUCCGUUUAAGACAAAUUUGUCUGCACUCAACAAUUGUUACUAUUUCCCGUUCAAAGAGUGCAAUCACACUUGGGACAUGCGCAGUGCUGCAUCAGAAUCAGUUGCACGAGCUGUAGUUUCUGCGUUGCGGCUUGGCAGGAAUUCAGAGCAGGAAGAGAGGUGAUAGAAACUGUGUAGGGUUUUUCUCCCAUCAUCAUCAUGUACAUACGUUAUGAUCGUUGUUUUUAAAAAAAAAUGUUUUUCCUUCCCUGUGAAUAAAAAAUAUACAGCACAUUGCUGUAAUUCUUUUGUAUAUAGUUUUAAUUUUUAAAAAAUAAAUUAGUAUAUAAAU
rnacentral:misc_RNA from 1 species